UAGGGAAUCUUCGGCAAUGGACGAAAGUCUGACCGAGCAACGCCGCGUGAGUGAAGAAGGGUUUCGGCUCGUAAAGCUCUGUUGUUAAAGAAGAACACGUAUGAGAGUAACUGUUCAUACGUUGACGGUAUUUAACCAGAAAGUCACGGCUAACUACGUACCAG
rnacentral:rRNA from 1 species